rfam:Triticum aestivum genome assembly, contig: Triticum_aestivum_CS42_TGACv1_scaffold_405623_5BL
GAUGUACUUCCUCCGUCCGGAAAUACUCGUCUUAAAAAUGAAGAAAAUGAAUAUAUCUAUAACUAAAAUAAGUCUAGAUACAUCCAUUUCUAGGACAAGUAUUUUCGGACGGAGGAAGUAUUCC